rnacentral:misc_RNA from 1 species
GUGAAUCAUCAAAUCUUUGAACGCAAAUUGCACUUUCUGGUAUUCCGGAUAGUAGGCCUGUUUGUGGGUCUGUUAUAUUAAAAUCUGUGUUGUUGCUGCUUUUCUUGGUGACGCUUCCGAAGUGGGUUUUCUUACCUUCGGUUAAGUGACUUAAAAUUUUGCAUGAUUUUCGAACGUAUUUAAAUUUCUUUCGUACGUUUGAGAUAUCUA